rnacentral:rRNA from 1 species
GACGAACGCUGGCGGCAGGCCUAACACAUGCAAGUCGAGCGGGACCUUCGGGUCUAGCGGCGGACGGGUGAGUAUCGCGUGGGAAUGUGCCCUUCUCUACGGAAUAGCCUCGGGAAACUGAGAGUAAUACCGUAUACGCCCUUUGGGGGAAAGAUUUAUCGGAGAAGGAUCAGCCCGCGUUGGAUUAGGUAGUUGGUGGGGUAAUGGCCUACCAAGCCGACGAUCCAUAGCUGGUUUGAGAGGAUGAUCAGCCACACUGGGACUGAGACACGGCCCAGACUCCCACGGGAGGCAGCAGUGGGGAAUCUUAGACAAUGGGGGAAACCCUGAUCUAGCCAUGCCGCGUGAGUGAUGAAGGCCUUAGGGUUGUAAAGCUCUUUCAGCUGGGAAGAUAAUGACGGUACCAGCAGAAGAAGCCCCGGCUAACUCCGUGCCAGCCGCCGCCGUAA